GGAUCAUUGAUAUAUGGUCAUUGCUUUUAAAUCGGAAGGAAGCAGGUCGUGGAUUGGGGUCCCCAAAGAGAUUCUUUAUCCCUCCUACAACUUGUGUGAACUUGACUGAAGAACUUCUUAGACGGAAAAAACCGGUGAUGCAAUGUGAGCUUGAGUUCCAUAAGAGAUUGUUGAACAUGCUCAACUGCUCCGAGUAUGGAGAUAUGUCAGAUGUCGAUCUUGUUUUUUGUCCUAUUCUUCAAAGGGGUUGGUACGUAGUUUUAUGUUUCAAUUUCAAGCAUUCCAAGAUUGAUAUUAUUGACCAAAGGAUGCUUACCAGAAUAUUGGAUGAAAAUUAUGGUGGCUACGCAA